GACGAACGCUGGCGGCGUGCCUAAUACAUGCAAGUAGAACGCUGAAGGAGGAGCUUGCUUCUCUGGAUGAGUUGCGAACGGGUGAGUAACGCGUAGGUAACCUGCCUGGUAGCGGGGGAUAACUAUUGGAAACGAUAGCUAAUACCGCAUAAUAGUAGAUGUUGCAUGACAUUUGCUUAAAAGGUGCAAUUGCAUCACUACCAGAUGGACCUGCGUUGUAUUAGCUAGUUGGUGGGGUAACGGCUCACCAAGGCGACGAUACAUAGCCGACCUGAGAGGGUGAUCGGCCACACUGGGACUGGGACACGGCCCAGACUCCUACGGGAGGCAGCAGUAGGGAAUCUUCGGCAAUGGACGGAAGUCUGACCGAGCAACGCCGCGGGAGUGAAGAAGGUUUUCGGAUCGUAAAGCUCUGUUGUAAGAGAAGAACGAGUGUGAGAGUGGAAAGUUCACACUGUGACGGUAGCUUACCAGAAAGGGACGGCUAACUACGUG
rnacentral:rRNA from 1 species